AGCAGCCGCGGUAAUUCCAGCUCCAAUAGCGUAUAUUAAAGUUGUUGCAGUUAAAAGCUCGUAGUUGAAUUUCGGGAUCAAUACGUUGGUCGUGCUUUCGGGUACGUACUGGCGUCAUUGGUUUCUCUCUUCUGACGAACCAUGAUGUCAUUAAUUUGGUGUUAUGGGAAGUUAGGACUGUUACUUUGAAAAAAUUAGAGUGUUAAAGCAGGCUCACGCUUGAAUACAUUAGCAUGGAAUAAUGAAAUAGGACGUUUGAUUCUAUUUUGUUGGUUUCUAGGAUUGACGUAAUGAUUAAUAGGGAUAGUUGGGGGCAUUAGUAUUCAAUUGUCAGAGGUGAAAUUCUUGGAUUUAUUGAAGACUAACUACUGCGAAAGCAUUUGCCAAGGAUGUUUUCAUUAAUCAAGAACGAAAGUUAGGGGAUCGAAGACGAUCAGAUACCGUCGUAGUCUUAACCAUAAACUAUGCCGACUAGGGAUCGGAUGAUGUUAAUUUUUUAAUGACUCAUUCGGCGCCUUAC
rnacentral:rRNA from 1 species